CUUAACAUGCAGUCGAACGAUGAACCGGUUUCGGCCGGGGAUUAGUGGCGAACGGGUGAGUAACACGUGGGCAAUCUGCCCUGCACUCUGGGACAAGCCCUGGAAACGGGGUCUAAUACCGGAUAUGACACGCUCCCGCAUGGGAUGCGUGUGGAAAGCUCCGGCGGUGCAGGAUGAGCCCGCGGCCUAUCAGCUUGUUGGUGGGGUGAUGGCCUACCAAGGCGACGACGGGUAGCCGGCCUGAGAGGGCGACCGGCCACACUGGGACUGAGACACGGCCCAGACUCCUACGGGAGGCAGCAGUGGGGAAUAUUGCACAAUGGGCGAAAGCCUGAUGCAGCGACGCCGCGUGAGGGAUGACGGCCUUCGGGUUGUAAACCUCUUUCAGCAGGGAAGAAGCGAGAGUGACGGUACCUGCAGAAGAAGCGCCGGCUAACUACGUGCCAGCAGCCGCGGUAAUACGUAGGGCGCAAGCGUUGUCCGGAAUUAUUGGGCGUAAAGAGCUCGUAGGCGGCUUGUCGCGUCGGAUGUGAAAGCCCGGAGCUUAACUCCGGGUCUGCAUUCGAUACGGGCAGGCUAGAGUUCGGUAGGGGAGAUCGGAAUUCCUGGUGUAGCGGUGAAAUGCGCAGAUAUCAGGAGGAACACCGGUGGCGAAGGCGGAUCUCUGGGCCGAUACUGACGCUGAGGAGCGAAAGCGUGGGGAGCGAACAGGAUUAGAUACCCUGGUA
rnacentral:rRNA from 1 species